CCGACAAUAAUUUAAAUAGGUCGGCAGUGAAAUGCGAGCUCACUAGACUUACUGUCUGGUAAUUUUUAUGCCCCCCUUCGAAGAAGAGGGGGUAUAUUGCUUUGCUCAUGUCGGUCGGUCGGUCGGUAGGUCGGUCGGUCCGUCCGUCCACCAGGUGGUUGUCGUAUGAUAACUCAAGAACGCAUACGCCUAGGAUCAUGAAACUUCAUAGGUAGAUUGAUCAUGACUCGCAGAUGACCCCUAUUAAUUUUGAGGUCACUAGGUCAAAGGUCAAGGUCACGGUGACCCGAAAUAGUAAAAUGGUUUCCGGAUCAUAACUCAAGAACGCAUACGCUUAGGAUCAUGAAACUUCAUGGGUAGAUUGAUCAUGACUCGCAGAUGACCCCUAUUGAUUUUGAGGUCACUAGGUCAAAGGUCAAGGUCACGGUGACCCGAAAUAGUAAAAUGGUUUUCGGAUGAUAACUCAAGAACGCAUACGCCUAGGAUCAUGAAACUUCAUGGGUAGAUUGAUCAUGACUCGCAGAUGACCCCUAUUAAUUUUGACGUCACUAGGUCAAAGGUCAAGGUCACGGUGACCCGAAAUAGUAAAAUGGUUUCCGGAUCAUAACUCAAGAAGGCAUACGCCUAGGAUCAUGAAACUUCAUGGGUAGAUUGAUCAUGACUCGCAGAUGACCCCUAUCAAUUUUGAGGUCACUAGGUCAAAGGUCAAGGUCACAGUGACCCGAAAUAGUAAAAUGGUUUCCGGAUGAUAACUCAAGAACGCAUACGCCUAGGAUCAUGAAACUUCAUAGGUAGAUUGAUCAUGACUUGCAGAUGACCCCUAUCGUUUUUGAGGUCACUAGGUCAAAGGUCAAGGUCACAGUGACCUGAAAUAGUAAAAUGGUUUUCGGAUGCUAACUCAAGAACGCUUUUGCCUAGGAUCAUGAAACUUCAUAGGUAGAUUGAUCAUGACUCGCAGAUGACCCCUAUUGAUUUUGAGGUCACUAGGUCAAAGGUCAAGGUCACAGUGACAAAAAUCGUGCUCACACAAUGGCUGCCACUACAAUGGACAGCCCAUAUGGGGGGCAUGCAUGUUUUACAAACAGCCCUUGUUACUUUCAGUUUGUAUAUCUCUUACAGUUUUUACAACAUUUGUUGUAGUCAUGAUUUGUGGACAUAUCAUUUGCAUC